rnacentral:rRNA from 1 species
UACAGAGAGAACGAGCGUUGCCUAUGAUGACUGGGCGUAAAGGGUACGUAGGCGGACAAUAUUUCUAGAGCUUUGGUGAAAUGCUUGCGUAUUGACGCAAAUCUGCCAUUGCACUGUUUGUCUUGAGAUAUAAAGAGGUUAAUGUAAAGCAGUGUAGAAACGGCCUUAGGUCUUAAUAUAUUGAGUAACACCGAUGGCGUAGGCAAUUAACCGGUAGUAUUCUGACGCUAAUGUACGAAACGGCGGGGAGCAAAAGGG